GACGUAGGGCGCGAGCGUUGUCCGGAAUUACUGGGCGUAAAGCGUGCGUAGGCGGUUCGCUGUGUCCGAUGUGAAAGCCCCGGGCUUAACCUGGGAAUGGCAUUGGAAACUGGCGGGCUUGAGUGCGGCAGAGGGGGGUGGAAUUCCGCGUGUAGCAGUGAAAUGCGUAGAGAUGCGGAGGAACACCGAUGGCGAAGGCAGCCCCCUGGGUCGACACUGACGCUCAGGCACGAAAGCGUGGGGAGCAAACAGG
rnacentral:rRNA from 1 species